UGGAUAGCUCGGUUGGCUAGAUUGUGGCACUGAUAACGCCAAGUUUGCAGGUUCAAUCCCUGUAUGGCACAA